ACUCUUUCGUGGUAUUCCUUCCAUAGUACCACAAGACCAUUGAGGCAGUGUAUUCGGUGGAAAACUCUGUCGAGACUCUGCUGGACCUGCUGCAGAGAUACCGUGAGAAAGCUGGAGAUAAAGUGGCAGAAAAGGGCGGCAGCAUCUUCACAAAGGCCUGCUUCCUUCUUGCUCUCCUCCUGCAAGACAAGUACCGCGUUGUGGAGGUUAUGAAGCUACCCAAAGUGUUGGAUAGGCUACGCAGUAUCUACCGCCUCACCGCUCGCAAACACAAGAUGGACGCUGAAAGAACUGUUACGAAACAGAAAAUGAACGCAUCAAUCAACGGGAGCUUUUUCUUUCAAACGACGCCUCGUAAAUCCCGCCCUGUGCCAAAAUUUGCACCGGAUUGGGUUCUCAGAAGGGACAAGUUCAAAGAUAUUGUGGAUCCUCUCCGGGCCAUUCAGAUGGUGGCAAACACACUCUCUAUUGUGUUGUAAAUACAGGCUUUUAAAUCUUCAUUUUAUCAUCUCAUUCUUGUGCUUCAGAAAAUAUAGUUUUUUGUAUUGUUUGAGUUUUUUUUUACUAUUGCAUUU